GCCUGGCUGGCUCAAUUGGCAGAGCACGUGACUCUUGAUCACAGGGUUAUGAGUUUGAGCCCCAUGUCCAGCA
rnacentral:tRNA from 1 species